AGAGUUUGAUCCUGGCUCAGGAUGAACGCUGGCGGCGUGCUUAACACAUGCAAGUCGAACGAAGCACUUUAUUUGAUUUCCUUCGGGACUGAUUAUUUUGUGACUGAGUGGCGGACGGGUGAGUAACGCGUGGGUAACCUGCCUUGUACAGGGGGAUAACAGUUGGAAACGGCUGCUAAUACCGCAUAAGCGCACAGCAUCGCAUGAUGCAGUGUGAAAAACUCCGGUGGUAUAAGAUGGACCCGCGUUGGAUUAGCUAGUUGGUGAGGUAACGGCCCACCAAGGCGACGAUCCAUAGCCGACCUGAGAGGGUGACCGGCCACAUUGGGACUGAGACACGGCCCAAACUCCUACGGGAGGCAGCAGUGGGGAAUAUUGCACAAUGGGCGAAAGCCUGAUGCAGCGACGCCGCGUGAGCGAAGAAGUAUUUCGGUAUGUAAAGCUCUAUCAGCAGGGAAGAUAAUGACGGUACCUGACUAAGAAGCACCGGCUAAAUACGUGCCAGCAGCCGCGGUAAUACGUAUGUCCCGAGCGUUGUCCGGAUUUAUUGGGCGUAAAGCGAGCGCAGGCGGUUUGAUAAGUCUGAAGUUAAAGGCUGUGGCUCAACCAUAGUUCGCUUUGGAAACUGUCAAACUUGAGUGCAGAAGGGGAGAGUGGAGUUCCAUGUGUAGCGGUGAAAUGCGUAGAUAUAUGGAGGAACACCGGUGGCGAAAGCGGCUCUCUGGUCUGUAACUGACGCUGAGGCUCGAAAGCGUGGGGAGCGAACAGGAUUAGAUACCCAGGUAGUCCACGCCGUAAACGAUGAGUGCUAGGUGUUGGAUCCUUUCCGGGAUUCAGUGCCGCAGCUAACGCAUUAAGCACUCCGCCUGGGGAGUACGACCGCAAGGUUGAAACUCAAAGGAAUUGACGGGGGCCCGCACAAGCGGUGGAGCAUGUGGUUUAAUUCGAAGCAACGCGAAGAACCUUACCAGGUCUUGACAUCCCGAUGCUAUUUCUAGAGAUAGAAAGUUACUUCGGUACAUCGGUGACAGGUGGUGCAUGGUUGUCGUCAGCUCGUGUCGUGAGAUGUUGGGUUAAGUCCCGCAACGAGCGCAACCCCUAUUGUUAGUUGCCAUCAUUCGGUUGGGCACUCUAGCGAGACUGCCGGUAAUAAACCGGAGGAAGGUGGGGAUGACGUCAAAUCAUCAUGCCCCUUAUGACCUGGGCUACACACGUGCUACAAUGGUUGGUACAACGAGUUGCGAGUCGGUGACGGCGAGCUAAUCUCUUAAAGCCAAUCUCAGUUCGGAUUGUAGGCUGCAACUCGCCUACAUGAAGUCGGAAUCGCUAGUAAUCGCGGAUCAGCACGCCGCGGUGAAUACGUUCCCGGGCCUUGUACACACCGCCCGUCACACCACGAGAGUUUGUAACACCCGAAGUCGGUGAGGUAACCUUUUGGAGCCAGCCGCCUAAGGUGGGACAGAUGAUUGGGGUGAAGUCGUAACAAGGUA
rnacentral:rRNA from 1 species